AUUGAACGCUGGCGGAAUGCUUUACACAUGCAAGUCGAACGGCAGCACGGACUUCGGUCUGGUGGCGAGUGGCGAACGGGUGAGUAAUACACCGGAACGUGCCCAAUCGUGGGGGAUAACGUAGAGAAAGCUACGCUAAUACCGCAUACGAUCUAAGGAUGAAAGCGGGGGAUCGCAAGACCUCGCGCGAUUGGAACGGCCGAUGGCAGAUUAGGUAGGUGGUAGGGUGAAGGCCUACCAAGCCGACGAUCUGUAGCUGGUCUGAGAGGAUGAUCAGCCACACUGGGACUGAGACACGGCCCAGACUCCUACGGGAGGCAGCAGUGGGGAAUUUUGGACAAUGGACGCAAGUCUGAUCCAGCCAUUCCGCGUGCAGGAUGAAGGCCCUCGGGUUGUAAACUGCUUUUGUACAGAACGAAAAGGCUCUGGUUAAUACCUAGGGCUCAUGACGGUACUGUAAGAAUAAGCACCGGCUAACUACGUGCCAGCCGCCGCCGUAA
rnacentral:rRNA from 1 species